AUGUGGAAAUCAAGGACAAGAAAGGAGCUGAAAAUGUUGUGGCAAGAUCACUUGUCGAGAUUGCAAAACAAUGCAGUAGACUCCUUACCUAUCAAUGAUGUUUCACCAGGGAGCAAUCUUAUGCAAGUUACUAGUAUACAAAACUAUACACCAUGGUACGCAGAUAUAGUUAAUUACCUGGUCUGUAACAAAGUUCCUAUAGAUUUUGGGUAUCAAAAGAAGAAGAAAUUCCUAUCAGAUAUGAAGCACUUCUUUUGGGAUGAACGUUACUUAUUCAAGCAUUGUGCUGAUGGUAUUGUUUGA
rnacentral:rRNA from 1 species